rnacentral:rRNA from 1 species
GACGAACGCUGGCGGCGUGCCUAAUACAUGCAAGUCGAGCGCAGGAAAUCGACGGAACCCUUCGGGGGGAAGUCGACGGAAUGAGCGGCGGACGGGUGAGUAACACGUAAAGAACCUGCCCUCAGGUCUGGGAUAACCACGAGAAAUCGGGGCUAAUACCGGAUGGGUCAUCGGACCGCAUGGUCCGAGGAUGAAAGGCGCUUCGGCGUCGCCUGGGGAUGGCUUUGCGGUGCAUUAGCUAGUUGGUGGGGUAUUGGCCCACCAAGGCGACGAUGCAUAGCCGACCUGAGAGGGUGAUCGGCCACACUGGGACUGAGACACGGCCCAGACUCCUACGGGAGGCAGCAGUAGGGAAUCUUCCACAAUGGACGAAAGUCUGAUGGAGCAACGCCGCGUGAACGAUGAAGGCCUUCGGGUCGUAAAGUUCUGUUGUAAGGGAAGAACAAGUGCCGCAGGCAAUGGCGGCACCCUGACGGUACCUUGCGAGAAAGCCACGGCUACCUACGUGCCAGCAGCCGCCGUAAUAC